UCAGCAUUCAGAGAGCACCUUUGCAACUUCUUCGUUCGUCUCGGAGAAAGCUUGCUGAAGCGGUGAGAUCACUGAAACCAUGCUGAAGACAWUACUUGUCCUUGGAUGCCUUCUGAGCAUCACCAUGGCUCUGCCUGUAAAGACGGAGCACCAGCGAAUUGAGCGUUCUAGUUCCAAUGAGAUGUACUACUCAUACAACAACCUUUUUGGCCUUUCUAAUACGAUGUUUCAACAACUUCUUACUGCUCUGAUCCAACAAACUCUUUCUGGUUAAAUGAGCACUGGAAUGUUCUGAAAAUGAAGAGAUUUAAAUCCUUCUGUUCCACAGGAUUCUUCCAUAUGGAUCAUUUAAUCAAAAAUGAUCAAUGAUAUUCAUCAUUAUCUGAGGAAUCUGACAAAUAAAGUUAUAAAAAAUAGCUGA